rnacentral:rRNA from 1 species
GACGAACGCUGGCGGCGUGCCUAAUACAUGAAAGUAGAACGAGUUGCGAACGGGUGAGUAACGCGUGGUACCCUGCCUCAUAGCGGGGGAUAACUAUGGGAAACGAUAGCUAAUACCGCAUACCAUCGGAUGUGGCCAGAUGGGAUUAGCUGGUUGGUGGGGGAACGGCUAACCAAGGCGGCGAUGCCUAGCUGGUCUGAGAGGAUGACCAGCCACACUGGAACUGAGACACGGUCCAGACUCCUACGGGAGGCAGCAGUGGGGAAUAUUGCACAAUGGGCGCAAGCCUGAUGCAGCCAUGCCGCGUGUAUGAAGAAGGCCUUCGGGUUGUAAAGUACUUUCAGUGGGGAGGCGUUACCCGCAGAAGAAGCCCCGGCUAACUCCGUGCCAGCAGCCGCGGUAAUAC